rnacentral:rRNA from 1 species
GCUUGCUGGGUGGAUGAGUGGCGAACGGGUGAGUAACACGUGAGUAACCUGCCCUCUUCUUUGGGAUAACGCCCGGAAACGGGUGCUAAUACUGGAUAUUCACUGAUUCUCGCAUGGGGGUUGGUGGAAAGGUUUUUUCUGGUGGGGGAUGGGCUCGCGGCCUAUCAGCUUGUUGGUGGGGUGAUGGCCUACCAAGGCUUUGACGGGUAGCCGGCCUGAGAGGGUGACCGGUCACAUUGGGACUGAGAUACGGCCCAGACUCCUACGGGAGGCAGCAGUGGGGAAUAUUGCACAAUGGGCGAAAGCCUGAUGCAGCGACGCCGCGUGAGGGAUGGGGGCCUUCGGGUUGUAAACCUCUUUCGCUCAUGGUCAAGCCGCAACGCUGGUUGUGGUGAGGGUAGUGGGUAAAGAAGCGCCGGCUAACUACGUGCCAGCAGCCGCGGUAAUACGUAGGGCGCGAGCGUUGUCCGGAAUUAUUGGGCGUAAAGGGCUUGUAGGCGGUUGGUCGCGUCUGCCGUGAAAUCCUCUGGCUUAACUGGGGGCGUGCGGUGGGUACGGGCUGACUUGAGUGCGGUAGGGGAGACUGGAACUCCUGGUGUAGCGGUGGAAUGCGCAGAUAUCAGGAAGAACACCGGUGGCGAAGGCGGGUCUCUGG